UACGAAGGGGGCUAGCGUUGCUCGGAAUCACUGGGCGUAAAGCGCACGUAGGCGGCGACUCAAGUCAGAGGUGAAAGCCCGGGGCUCAACCCCGGAACUGCCUUUGAAACUAGGUUGCUAGAAUCCUGGAGAGGUGAGUGGAAUUCCGAGUGUAGAGGUGAAAUUCGUAGAUAUUCGCAAGAACACCAGUGGCGAAGGCGGCUUACUGGUCCGGUACUGACGCUGAGGUGCGAAAGCGUGGGGAGCAAACAGGG
rnacentral:rRNA from 1 species